GAUGCAACACCCCACCCCCUCCUCCAACCCCCCAAUAUCGAGGCAAGUUUCCUCCAGGGGCCACCGUUCCAUUCUUCGGCAAACGGUUCCUGAAAACUGACUUGAAGUUGAUUGAGUUUCAUCAUUCCAUAACCCCCCACUCCCCCCGGGGCCGCCGAAUCAGCCAACGUUUCUUCUCUUUUCCUGUUCAUAUGUACGGAGUAAUUCCUCCCAGAAUCAUAGAUAAACCAUACAUAGCCAGGUCGAGUUUGAUAGAUCGUUGAUCGAUUAGAAACGAAAGAAAAGAAAAGAAAAGAAAAGAAAAGAAAAGACAAUAAAAAAGAGAACCCCAAAGCAGUGCUCGCCCCAUCCCAUCCCAUCCCAUCCCAUCCCUCCUCUUCCUCGCGCCUGCAAAAUCGCAUAAAUCAAAGCC
rnacentral:sRNA from 1 species